CAGUAAUAUUUCAGUGACUGCUGCUUAUACCACAGGUUAAUACACUCUACUGAUCCCUGAUAGGAGAAUCAUCAAUUUUGCCAGCAAAGAAGCCUGGUGGAUGUUUGUUUACAGUCUGAUGGUGGGACAUCAUGCUCUGCAUCUUUAAAGUUUGUCUCUUGAUUAUUAUUCAUACCCAGUAAUGUGAAGUAUGCUCAUAUCUACUAUAACUGAACCAACCUGGUGCUCUUCAUUUAUGGAGGCUGUUGAGUCUGAAUGUUGGAUGUUGUGUAUCUCGUGUUCUCUGGGCUUUGUUGUCCUCAGUCUUUUUGCAGGAUCAGAAAACAAAACCGGGAGGCGCGUAAAUGUUUCUUCUCCAUGAUGUUUCUUCAAAUGUUUCUUCUGGAUGAUGAUAUGACCGUGACACGGGAUGCCACCUUUGGUCUUGUGACGAAGCAAAGCUCAGGAAGAAGUGUGAUUAAAUGGUACCCACAUGUGUGCUGCUGAGAAGGAUGUACAGGGGCACCUGCAGCCAAAUCCAAGCUUCAGGUUAGUUCGGCUGUUUGUGCUCACAGAUGGUGACGGUGUGGAGAGACGGUGGUGUUUCCUCAGAAGCACCAGCUGAGUCACAAAGGACACCAGUCCAUCUCACCACCUUGACUUGCUGACUGAUGUUCGUCUACACUGCACAGAGGAAAUCAACUGACCGAGGAGUGUUUCUGAGUGAGGGGGAGAGGAGUCAUCAUCCAGAUGGGCAGCAUAUCAGUCUUGGACUGUCUAACCUGCCGGAGCAGCACUGAAUGACCACCACACAUGAGCAUGUUCCUGCAACAUUCAGCAUCUGAUCUGUCAUCUGUGUACUUCUGCUUUUGGUAAGUACAGCUACAGUACCUCUAAACACAUGCCACCCAUUUCUUUUCUUUUUUCUUUUUUUUUUCUGCCUGUCCCGUUUGGUUCUUUUGCCAUCAGAAUUAUUCUCUAAAGGCGAAGAAAGAUGCCCAACGGAUUUACUUUACCAAAUUAACCAUCCCAGCCUUGCCGUAAUGGUCUAUUUGGUAUACCUUUUAUUGUUUAUUUUAUUUAUUUUUUAUUUUCACUUGCUAGAUACAGGACAGACUUGAAUGAGGAAAAGAAAAGGGAGAAAGGAAGAGGGGGAAAAACAGCGGAGAAGAGGGACGGGAAUAAAGAGCAAAAAAACAAAAAACAACUAAAUAAGCAGACAAAAAAAAAAAUACAUACAAUACAAUAACCUAGAUCACCUGUUGAGAAAGAAAAAAGAAAAACAGCAGAAGAAAAAGAGAGCAAUACAAUAAACAACAUCACGAUGAUAUAUGUGAAUAUAACAGUAAAUACUAAAUAUUAAACAUUAUUGUGCACCACAUAAUAUCGACAGCGCAGAGUGUGCUUUGAGGUAGGAGCCAAAAAGGGUGUAGUUUGUGUGUGUGAACACCCGUGUGUACACCUGUGAGCAUGGACGUGCUUUUUAAAAGGUUCCUUCAUGUAAUGAUCUGCUAGAGCAGGGGUGUCAAACUCAAAUACACAGUGGGCCAAAAUUCAAAACUGGAACAAAGUCGCGGGCUAACAUUAAUAUAAAAAAAAAAAUCUUCCUCCAUUCAUGAGAAUGAAUCUUUUCUUAUAGACUCAAACAAGUUUUGCUGAAAAACUGAAUAUGGAACAAGCAAAGCUUAAUACUAAACUAUAUAUAUUAGCUAUUAGAGGUCAGCUCUAAUAGUAAU
ensembl:lncRNA